rnacentral:lncRNA from 1 species
AGCUAUUAAUUUUAUUGAUACAAUCACGUAUAAUUAAAAUUUUUAAAAAGUUCAAAAAUUAUUAAUUUUAACAAAAGUAAAAAAAGCUAUUACAUUUAAAAAAAUUAAAAUUAUAUAAAAUUAUUUUUGAUUAUUUUCAUUAAUAAAAAUAAAGUAUAAAAAAUAAUACUUUUUAAAAAUAGGUUAAAAUUGAUAUUUUUUAUAUAUUUUUUUUUAUCUUUUUCUCAUCUCUUCUCCAAAUCCUAGUCACCGCCCCUCCAAAUUGCCGCUGACGCCAUUUGACCUCCACCGAUUGGAAGCCCCUAAAGUGACGCUCCUUGUCUCUCCACUCACGUUUCUCGGCUUAGAUUUCCUCAAAACCCAAUUCAAAACCUUCGGAAAAUCCAAGAAAAAUAGAAUAAAAGGAAACUCGAUCUGUCGUCAUUUCCCACCAGAUAGGUCUCAUUUUCCAGUAUGAUGAUCUUCACCAUCCAAGGAAGCUUUUCACUGUUGGGAUCAUCAAAUGGACAUCUCAAACCCCUUUAAUCGGUCAAAUCCAAACGGGUUGUAUUCUCUCCUUAACUUUUCUUGUUCUUAUUUAGUGUAUAACUCUUCAUUUUGUUCUUGAUGUUUCUGCCAUAACCCUCUGCUUCUUAUUUGUCAUUCUUCAUUCAUUUGCCCUUAUCUUCUGCUUUAACUUGAUCUCCAUUACCUCGAUGGGUCUGACCUCUUGAUUGAUAUUGUUAGGGCUUGCUUUCAUGCUAUGAAACUAUGCCAUUGUGCAAGGUCAGGAGGUUGGUAAUGGUGGCAAAUCGGUAUACCAAAAGCAUGGGGAAGUUCAAGAUAAGAUUUGAAGAACUGGUCAUGGCUUUUUCAAGUUCAUUUUCAUAUAUUCUUGUAUUUGUUGUUGAAAAUUCUCAUAUUUGUUGUUCUUCACUAGUUUGUAUUGGUUGUUUAUUAAAAAAAAAAAUCAGAUUGGUUAUUAUUUAUUUGUUGAUUCAUUUAUAAAAUUAUAUUAAAUAUCA